GACGAACGCUGGCGGCGUGCUUAACACAUGCAAGUCGAACGGAAAGGCCCUGCUUUUGUGGGGUGCUCGAGUGGCGAACGGGUGAGUAACACGUGAGUAACCUGCCCUUGACUUUGGGAUAACUUCAGGAAACUGGGGCUAAUACCGGAUAGGAGCUCCUGCUGCAUGGUGGGGGUUGGAAAGUUUCGGCGGUUGGGGAUGGACUCGCGGCUUAUCAGCUUGUUGGUGGGGUAGUGGCUUACCAAGGCUUUGACGGGUAGCCGGCCUGAGAGGGUGACCGGCCACAUUGGGACUGAGAUACGGCCCAGACUCCUACGGGAGGCAGAAGUGGGGAAUAUUGCACAAUGGGCGGAAGCCUGAUGCAGCAACGCCGCGUGCGGGAUGACGGCCCUCGGGUUGUAAACCGCUUUCGCCUGUGACGAAGCGUGAGUGACGGUAAUGGGUAAAGAAGCACCGGCUAACUACGUG
rnacentral:rRNA from 1 species